UAGUACUAAUAUUAAAUAACCAGAUAAGUGGUGUUAAUUCAGAGCAGGAUAAGAUCAUUAUAGAUUAGGUUGACCUUCAUAGAAGAAAUAAAACUUGAACUAGUUCUAAAAGAUGAGUAGGAUUUCAGUAGAUACAAACGAAGAGGGGAGAUUAAUUUGGAUUAAUGGAUUUGAGGAAGAUUUGAGUGAAGAUCAUUCAUGGUGUGAUUCCCCUAUCAUUUAUCCACAGCAGAAAUCAUUAAUCCUCCAUGGCACUAAUUCUUGCUGAGCCUGGACACAAUCUGGUAAAAUGAACUAGAUAAUAAUAAAAGAGAUGUAGACAUUAAAUGGAGAGAUAUGUUGAAAAAGGCAUCAAUGAGGCAUCUUGAAAAUGUCUAACCCUGGAGGUCAAGAUGUGGGAAUUUUUGCAUGUGCAAUAGGGAAGCCCUUGGUGCAGAGACUAUGAAGGGUUUCUGUUGCAUCUGUGCUGAAUAUGCAGGCAUCUGAGGGCUGUGAUAGGCAUCACAACCAGACUCAGAAAAAUAAUGCCAGGGGAAGGCAGUGCAAUGCAUUCUGCCAGAGGGCAGCACUCAGGCUAUUUCUAGGCUGACAGAGACCCGAGAGUUAUAUCAGCUGCAGAGUUGGGCCACCAUUGCCAGCAGAGUAAGCAUCAAACAGGGGCAAAGAAACAAUAAGCCCUGGAAAUCUAGGAAGCCAGAGGACCACUUACUCAAGGAAUUCAACUCUUUCCUGCUGCUCUAAAGUCCCCUUUCCCUCAUACAUCCAGAUGCCUGUCAGGGGAGAGGUGGCUAUCUGAGAGACCAAUUUUUAUUCAGGAGAGUCUGAGCAGUGCCUUAAAGACUGUUUAAAUGAUCAGAUCAGACUAUGUUAAACUGGUUUGGGAACUUCUGAAAGAUGUGGUAUGAGCAACUGAGAAGAUGUACAAGACCUUCAUGUGAGUAAAGGGUACCAGUCAGCUAGCUCAUCCAUUACCUUUGAUGAGGUAAGGCAGAACUGAAUGUGGAAUGAUGCAGGCCUGUACCCAUUUCCAAGACGGGCUGAUUGGGCCCAUCUGAGGUAAGUCAGGAUUGAUGCCAGAGCAUGUGGCCUACUAAGCAGGUAGCUCAGUUCACUCAGCUGCAGGGGCACUGCAUACCCAUGUGUACCUGCCUCAGCACCACCAGUGUCCCAGCACUGGCUGUACCCAUUGCCAAGGAAGAACCAUGUGUUUGAAACAUCCAUUACACCUGGCCCUGUCAAACCUGUGAAGACAGAUCCUUGUGGUCUGCUGUUUUCAUCGGCACCCACCUUGUUUCUCUCCUCAUCCUGUACUUUUUCAGUAAUAGUCUGUGGAGCUUUCUACCAUAUGCUUUCUUUGCUGCCAGGAUUAGUAAAAAAUUAGCCCCAAAUUGCUGUCUUCCUAUUCCAAAAGUCUGUAACCUUUAUGUUCUAUGUAUUGGGUGUGAGGGAUGCCUUGUAGCCCUUAGCUAAUUUCAGGAUCUAUGAUUAGCAUACCUUGAGUAUAAAUAAUAAAUUUGCAAGCCCAGUGGUGGCUUGCAGUUCCUAUACAGGAGAAGUUUAAGAGCAGAACUCUGAAAGGGGAGGGAGGCAGAAGAUUUGUCUUGAAGCUGAGUGCACAGAGUAAUGUGAUCCGCUGACUUGAACUGACCACUAGAAAACUAAAAAACAAAGAUAUGAUUAAUAAAAACAUGUACUUUGUUCAUAUAACUGAGUUUUAUAAAUGUAGAAUCUAGAGCCUUUAAAAAUAUCUUCUGUUGGCUAAUUAUUUCAUUUACUUGGUUUCUUCCUUCCCCAAGCAAGGUAUGACACUAUUAACCUGAGAUUUUAAACACAUCCUUUGCUGACUUUUUUCUAUUUAUGUAUUUUUAUUUUGUUUACUUUAUGGGGGGGUGCGGAAGGAGUUUAUUGCCAUUGAUGCCCACAACUCUUUCUCAAAUCCUCCAAGCAGUCUUUUCCUUGGGUGAGCUAUACUAUAAGAUUCUAAUCAUUAUGUUGUGCAAUAUAAAAAUACCUUCUAUAUGUAGCAAUGACAGCACACAUGCCCACACCCAGUGAAAUAAGGUCAUGUUACUGAAAUUAUCUCCAUUGAGGUGAUAGGUGGUGCCAUGAUUGUGGAUGAACUCACCAAGGAAAUGAGUAUGGAAAGAAGAAUGCAGAAAGCUGAGGACUGCAGCAUGGAGGGAGAAGCUUACAGUUCAGAGGAGGAAGAGGACCUUUGCUGGAGUGAGAGUUAGCUAAAAGAUGAUGGCCAGUGGUGGUUUUGCUGGAUGGUGCAUGAACUUUUCCCACAUAUGGAUGACCCCUUGGAGACGCAUCUACUGCACAUCUCACCAGCGGCCGGUGAACCCUGUGCAUCCUCUUGGUCUUCCAGAGAGGCCUCUUAGGGUUGGCACACCAGCUCACCUUCUAAAGUCUCCAGCUCCCUCUGGGCCCAUGUGAAUUUAAGAAUCUGUUGAAUCACUGGUUCUCUAUGAAGGAUUUUUCAUGGGGAAAAACUACUCUUUUGGAUGAUUAUCUUUUCACAAAACUGAUAUUUCCAGCCCUCCGAGUAUGGUACCAGUUCAACUUAUCUAGACAGGUAAGUUAGAAGCUGAGAGCUGAUUUGAAAAUAUUUUAAAUUAAACAAUUUUUAAUUCAUUAAAGAAAGCGAUGUAUGAAUUCAAAGUAAAAACCUUUGACCCUUUAAACAAUAAUAGCAGCUCUUAAAGGAUAUUGAAUAUUAUGAGAAGGUGACCUGGACCUAAGGUCUAGAACCAUACUGUGUGCUGCUGUAUGGGGGGAAGUGGGCCACAUGAGCAAUAAUGGGGCUUUGACCUGUUUUCAGGAUUCUAUCUCUCCCUCACUGGGGCUAAAAUAAAUAAUGCAGAAUUUUAGUAAAGUCUUUCUUUGCCUUCAAUAUGGUUCACUGUUUCUCUCUUUAUACUGCCUCCUCCCCUCCCUUAUUGAAAUGCUGCAUUUGAAAUGUACUGCUCCUGCCUUAUUUUAUCUUACUUUCCACGGCUGUUCUCUGCCUUCUGUUGACAGGUUCUCUUGGACCUGUGUGUCUUGUGCGCAGGUGACAAUCACAUAUAAUCAGGGCCUUGCUUGUCAGAUUAGUCAAGCAGAGAGAAGACUGGAAGGUGUUUUGUUUCUCCAGUGUCUUAUAGCCCCGGAGGCAUGGUCUGGUGUAGAGCAAACCUGAGGGUUCAGAGUUAGCUGCGAAAUCAGUGGCCAGUUGGAAGAGAGAAAGAGAAGGGGAAAGAUGCUUGAAAUGACAUACCUUUCACUUGAACUUGUU